rnacentral:rRNA from 1 species
AUACGAAAGGUGCAAGCGUUGUUCGGAUUUACUGGGCGUAAAGAGAUCGUAGGUGGUUUGUUAAGUCGGAUGUGAAAUCCCGGGGCUCAACCCCGGAACUGCAUUCGAUACUGGCAGACUAGAGUUCGGGAGGGGUAAGCGGAAUUCCGUGUGUAGCAGUGAAAUGCGUAGAUAUACGGAGGAACACCUGAGGCAAAGGCGGCUUACUGGACCGAUACUGACACUGAGGAUCGAAAGCGUGGGUAGCAAACAGGAUUAGAAACCCUAGUAGUCC